UGGGGAAUAUUGCACAAUGGGCGCAAGCCUGAUGCAGCCAUGCCGCGUGUGUGAAGAAGGCCUUCGGUUGUAAGCACUUUCAGCGAGGAGGAAGGGUAGUGUGUUAAUAGCACAUUGCAUUGACGUUACUCGCAGAAGAAGCACCGGCUAACUCCGUGCCAGCAGCCGCGGUAAUACGGAGGGUGCAAGCGUUAAUCGGAAUUACUGGGCGUAAAGCGCACGCAGGCGGUUUGUUAAGUCAGAUGUGAAAUCCCCGC
rnacentral:rRNA from 1 species